CCUGGCGGCAGUAGCGCGGUGGUCCCACCUGACCCCAUGCCGAACUCAGAAGUGAAACGCCGUAGCGCCGAUGGUAGUGUGGGGUCUCCNUGU
rnacentral:rRNA from 1 species